CAUGAUUUGUCACAUGACUAAAGUCUCUUCCUUUUGACAGACAUCGAUGCACAGACUACUGGGAAUCCAGUAAAUCCCUGCUACUACCCUACUCACAUUUAGUGCUGGACAGACUGGUUUGACAGGGACGACCCCACUGGGACCGGAGACUUUGAGACCCUGGUGGAUCUACGCUCUGAGAACCCUGGAAAUAUCUGUCCCAGUCCUGUACAGAUUGAGGUCACCACCAUCAGUGGAGUGAGUCACACUGCAACAAGGAACAUAUUUGCAGUGGUUGACACAACCACAGGCUUCAUCUAUAACAACAAGGACCAGCCGCCCAAAACGCCCUGUCAGGACUACCGUAUUUGUUUCAGAUGCUACCCACCAUUCUGUGGAGACGUAGUGUGCUGGAGCAAGUGGUACGAUCGUGACGACCCUAGUGGGACAGGGGACUGGGAGCUCCUCGGUGAUCUGCAGAAAGAAUAUCAUGGAUCCAUCUAUGUAAAAGGGAUGAGCACAGAGAGCGUUACCGCGGACACCAGCACCACUGCCAUUGCAACUGGGCAGACUUUCUACAUUUCCAAUCCAACCCAGGGUUUUGUCUGUCGCAAUGCAGACCAGAAAGGUGGUGGUUCCUGUCGUGAUUACAAAGUGAGGUUUGGGUGCCCUUGUGAUUGCUAAUUCAAACUGUAAACGACUGGAAGACAUUUUUGGCUAAAAAUGGAGAUUGAGACAUCCUAAUACUCUGCACAAAAAACAGUUUUCUAAUCUUAUCUACUAGA